GACGAACGCUGGCGGCGUGCUUAACACAUGCAAGUCGAGCGGUAAGGCCCCUUCGGGGGUACACGAGCGGCGAACGGGUGAGUAACACGUGAGCAAUCUGCCCUUCACUUUGGGAUAACUCUGGGAAACGAGAGCUAAUACCGAAUACGACCACUUCAGGCAUCUGAUGGUGGUGGAAAGUUCCGGCGGUGAAGGAUGAGCUCGCGGCCUAUCAGCUAGUUGGUGGAGUAACGGCCCACCAAGGCUUCGACGGGUAGCCGGCCUGAGAGGGUGACCGGCCACACUGGGACUGAGACACGGCCCAGACUCCUACGGGAGGUAGCAGUGGGGAAUAUUGGACAAUGGGCGAAAGCCUGAUCCAGCAACGCCGCGUGAGGGAUGACGGCCUUCGGUUGUAACCGUACUUCUAGUAGGGUACGAAGACGCAAGUGACGGUACCGUACACGAAGAAG
rnacentral:rRNA from 1 species